rnacentral:rRNA from 1 species
GAUGAACGCUGGCGGCGUGCUUAACACAUGCAAGUCGAACGGGAAACCUUUUAUUGAAGCUUCGGCAGAUUUAGCUGGUUUCUAGUGGCGGACGGGUGAGUAACGCGUGGGUAACCUGCCUUAUACAGGGGGAUAACAACCAGAAAUGGUUGCUAAUACCGCAUAAGCGCACAGGACCGCAUGGUCCGGUGUGAAAAACUCCGGUGGUAUAAGAUGGACCCGCGUUGGAUUAGCUAGUUGGCAGGGUAACGGCCUACCAAGGCGACGAUCCAUAGCCGGCCUGAGAGGGUGAACGGCCACAGUGGGACUGAGACACGGCCCAGACUCCUACGGGAGGCAGCAGUGGGGAAUAUUGCACAAUGGGGGAAACCCUGAUGCAGCGACGCCGCGUGAAGGAAGAAGUAUCUCGGGAUGUAAACUUCUAUCAGCAGGGAAGAUAGUGACGGUACCUGACGAAGAAGCCCCGGCUAACUACGUG